CAGUUUGUAGACUUUGUAGUCGAUCAUAUUGCAUAAACGUUGGACGUCUUAACCAGUAUAGCCUACACUUAGUAGAGAGCUUAGCAGACUUCUUAUUUAAGACCUGACUCCUAGACUUUUACAUCAAAUAAUUAUACAUUUUUCCAACACAGUUUAAUCUUGCAUAUCUUGCCCUGUUCAUCAGUACAUCUUUAAUAUUGU